rnacentral:rRNA from 1 species
UGAGUAAUGUCUGGGAAACUGCCUGAUGGAGGGGGAUAACUACUGGAAACGGUAGCUAAUACCGCAUAACGUCGCAAGACCAAAGAGGGGGACCUUCGGGCCUCUUGCCAUCGGAUGUGCCCAGAUGGGAUUAGCUAGUAGGUGGGGUAACGGCUCACCUAGGCGACGAUCCCUAGCUGGUCUGAGAGGAUGACCAGCCACACUGGAACUGAGACACGGUCCAG